rnacentral:rRNA from 1 species
CGAAGGUAUUGAAUAAGGCUUUAAAUGGGUGCUAAGAGAAUGGUUUAACAAGGAGAGACUUUCUUUUUUUUUAUAUUAGAAGUUAAUUUGAAAAUGAAAAAGUUUUUAUAAAUUUUUGGGACAAGAAGACCCUAUGAAUUUUUUUAAAAGACUUUAUGUUUUAAUUAAGAUUAUCAGAAAUUUAUUUUUUAGUUAUGAUCGGGGUGAUUUUUAAAGAUUAUUAAUCUUUAAAAUUUUUUAAUAAAAAAGUUCCAUUAGUAGUGAUUUUUUGAUAAAAAUACUCUAGGGAUAACAGCGUUAUUAUUUUGGAUAGUUCAUAUAGAUAAAAUAGUUUGCGACCUCGAUGUUGGAUUUAGAGAUCGGAUUCUUUUAUGACUGAAGAAGUUAUAAGGGAGAAGUUUGCUCAACUUUUAAAGUCCUACUUGAUCUGAGUUCAGACCGGA